rnacentral:lncRNA from 1 species
UAACAUGGAAAUUUCUCCAAAAAAUCAGAAAAGAAAAGAAAUCUGGUCAUCUAAAAAUCCUAAAAAGGAAGCAUAGGGAAAGAAGAAACCGCCAAAGAGGUAAAAGGGAGCGACGACAGAUCAACACGUCCUUCAAGAUAAACACAGACAAAAUAGAACAGAGGUAAUUGUGGUUGUAAACAGGGAAAAUAAAAAAGCACGAGAAAUCAGAAGAAACCUAAAUAAUUGACAGACAAAAGAGAUAUUUCUCAGAGCAAUUGAGGUGCCUCGACGAUCUUGCAUCAAAGAGAGAUGAUAUUUUCGAUUAUAUAGAAGAAAAAAAUCGGCAUAGGAAUUAAAAAUUGGGAAUAGAAGGACAGAAGUUCCAUCAUCACUAGGAAGAUCUAAUUUUAACCUGAAACAUCAAAUAGCAAGAAAUGUUGAAAACUCCCUGAUGGUACAGUCCAAACCUCAGGAAGCCAGAGAUAGAUAUCCUAAGAUAUUUGAAAACGUUCAAUACAAAAGCUGAUUAAAAGGACAAGACAUAAGAACAAACUCGUUUGGAAGGAAUAUAUGAUCAUCUUUCAAGUGUGUACACAUCAGAGAAACGGAGUGAAGUGGUGAAGAAAAUCUGGGAAACACAGACACAGAGGACAAAUCAUACCUCACCAACAAUAGCCAAUAUUAGAUAUAAAACAAUCUAUAGGAAAAGGUGGAUAGAUCAGAAGUAACCAGAAACACAAAAUUAUACUCAAACCAUCCUUCCCUGCCACAAUGCUUUGACCUCUUAAACGGAGUGAAGUGAUUGGUAAAGAAAAUCUGGGAAACACAGACACAGAGGACAAAUCAUACCUCACCAGCAAUAGCCAAUAUUAGAUAUAAAACAAUCUAUAGGAAAAGGUGGAUAGAUCAGAAGUAACCAGAAACACAAAAUUAUACUCAAACCAUCCUUCCCUGCCACAAUGUUUUGACCUCUUAAACGGAGUGAAGUGAUUGGUAAAGAAAAUCUGGGAAACACAGACACAGCGGACAAAUCAUACCUCACCAACAAUGGCCAAUAUUAGAUAAAACAAUCUAUAGGAAAAAAAAAGUGUAUAGAUGAGAAGUAACCAAAUACACAAAAUUAUACUUAAAACCAUCCAUCCCUCCCACAAUGCCUUGAUCUCUACGAUUUAAAACGAAAAACAUCAGGUAAUAGGGAAAUUCAAAACCCUAAAAAUAAAACAAAGGGAGAUAUAAGACACCGCCAAAGAAGUAACAGGGAGCCACGAUAGAUCAAAGACAUCUUUCAAAACAAACUGAGACAGAACUAGCCUUCUUCGCAUCCUCAAAAACCCUAAAAGAUGGGGGACACUUCACAAAUAAAAACAUCGUCACAAGCAUAUGAGAGUAGGAUCAAACACUAUACAUAGAUUUAACAUACAACAACAGAGAGACCGAGAAAUAGACCAGUUAACCAGGGCGUAUGUUAGAACAAACAGAUUGCAACAGAUCCCGGAGGCAAAGAGGAACAAAACCUGAUAAACCAUAUGAGAGGAGCUAAGACAUAGCAAUACUGAGAAACUUGAAGACGUUCAAUAGAAAAACUACUUACAAAAAAGACAAGCUAUAAGAAAAAAACUCGUCUGGAAGGAAUAUAUGUUCAUCUUUCAUCUGAAUGUGUACACAGCAGAGAAUCUGGAAAACACAACAAGACACAGAGGACAAAAUCAUACCUCACCAACAAUAGCCAAUAUCAUAACUCAGGUGAUAUAAGAACUCUAAAAAAGGAAGCAGAGGUAAAAGGGAGCGACGACAGAUCACACGCAUCCUUCAAGAUAAACAGAGACGAAAUGGAACAGAGGUAGGGAAAAUAAAAAAAGCUGUAGCACGAGAAAUCAGAAGAAACCUAAAUCGAUGAUAGACGAGAAGAGAUAUUUAUCAGAGUAAUCCCGGUGCCUUGACGAUCUGCAUCAAAGAAAGAUGAUAUUUUUCGCUUAUACAGAAAAAAAUCGGCAUAAGAAUUAAAAAUUGGGAGUAGAAAGACAAAAGAUCCUAAGAAACCGCAUGACAAGGAUCAAUCAAAGCCAUCACCGAUCAAUCAUAGCAUCCUCCACAAUCUAAAUCUAAAUCAACAAUAAAACGAGAAGCAAAUAACAUGGAUUAGAACAGACCACUCGAUGCAAUUUAGAAACCAACCCCUAGAAGAAUAAAUAAUCAGUGAAAUGAGAAAACUCAGAAGCGAGAACGAGGAUCGGAUCAAAAUUCGCUUGAAGACAUAUCGUAGAGAAAACGCGUGACAAAAAUCCAGAAAAACAAUCACCGAUCGAUCAUAGCAUCAUCCACAAUCUACAACAACAGAACGAGAAGUAAACAAGUAAAAGACGAAAAUUCAGAAUCGAUGAUCGGAUCGUAAUUAGCUUCCAAAAAACCUUCGAGACGAAUAAGAAACGUAGAGAAGAAAACAAAAAUCAGAGACGCGUAAAGAGAAAAAAAAAAAAAAAAAAACCUGAAGACCUAGUAGCGUAGAGAAUACCCGUGACAACGAUCCAUAAAAGACAUCACCGAACGAUCAAAUCAUCAAACCACAAUCUAGAAUAACACAGGGAAAAAGUAAAUCGCAUGAACAUAAAAAGCCAUCGAUGCUUUAGAAACAAACCCUAGAAAAAUAAAUUAUCCAUGGAAAGUGAAAAUCCAGAAGUAGGAACGAUGAUCGAUUCAAAAAAAAUCAGAGACGCGUUUAGAAGAAUAUCCCCAGCGACCGUGUAGAGAAAACUAUUUAGAGCAAGGAAGAUGUGGUUAGAGAU